AUGAAUGCUGGCGACAUGGAUAAGGCAUGCAAGUCAAGGGGGCCCGCAAGGGCAACCGGCAGACGAGGUAGUAACACGUAAGUACGUACCCCAUAGUCUGGUAUAGCUCGUCGAAAGGCGGGGUAAUCCCGGAUGGUCCCGCAAGGGUAAAGAUUUAUCGCUAUGGGAACGGCUUGCGUAAUAUCAGCUUGUUGGUGAGGUAAUGGCUCACCAAGGCUACGACGUUUAGGGGAGCUGAGAGGCUGACCCCCACCGAUGGGACUGAGACACGGCCCAUACUCCUACGGGAGGCCGCAGUCGAGAAUCUUCCACAAUGGACGAAAGUCUGAUGGAGCGAUGUCGCGUGAUGGAUGAAGUGCUUCGGUACGUAAACAUCUUUUAUGUGGGACGAAAUUAUUGACGGUACCACAUGAAUAAGGGGCUCCUAACUCUGU
rnacentral:rRNA from 1 species